UAAAACGUAGGAGACGAACGUUAUCCGGAGUUACUGGGCGUAAAGGGCGUGUAGGCGGUAUGUUAAGUCUGGCGUGAAAGCUCUCGGCUAAACCGGGAGAGGUCGUUGGAUACUGGCACACUUGAGGAUGGUAGAGGCGUGUGGAAUUCCGGGUGUAGUGGUGAAAUGCGUAGAGAUCCGGAGGAACACCAGUGGCGAAGGCGACACGCUGGGCCAUACCUGACGCUAAAGCGCGACAGCAUGGGGAGCAAACGGGAUUAGAAACCCCGGUAGUCCAUGCCGUAAACGAUGCCAGCUAGAUGUUCAGAGGGCGCAAGCCGUCGGGGUAUCGAAGCAAACGCGAUAAGCUGGCCGCCUGGGGAGUACGGUCGCAAGGCU
rnacentral:rRNA from 1 species